rnacentral:rRNA from 1 species
CCUACGGGGGGCAGCAGCUAAGAAUAUUCCGCAAUGGACGAAAGUCUGACGGAGCGACGCCGCGUGGAUGAAGAAGGCCGAAAGGUUGUAAAGUUCUUUUGUUGGGGAAGAAUAACCAUGGGAGGGAAUGCCCGUGGGAUGACAUGAACCGACGAAUAAGCCCCGGCUAACUACGUGCCAGCAGCCGCGGUAACACGUAGGGGGCGAGCGUUGUUCGGAAUUACUGGGCGUAAAGGGCAUGUAGGCGGUCUUGUAAGCUUGGCGUGAAAGACCACGGCUCAACCGUGGGAUUGCGUUGAGAACUGCGAGGCUUGAGUGACGGAGAGGGAGCUAGAAUUCCUGGUGUAGGGGUGGAAUCUGUAGAGAUCAGGAAGAAUACCAAUGGCGAAGGCAAGCUCCUGGCCGAUGACUGACGCUGAGGUGCGAAAGUGUGGGGAUC